CACCUUUUUAGCAUUCUCAUAAGUUUCAAGUCGAGCAAGAGCUAACCAUAAAUCAAUGGACAUGGGUAUUAAUUCAACGGCACGAGCUAAUAGUAUCCUUGCAUUAUCCACUUCUUCUUCUAAAUUUACAGCUUCUUUCCAUAAGCUUACAGAAGUCGGGUUAAAUUCUAAAGCUUUUUUUAUAAUCCUUUUUUUGUGCUGAGCUUGAUUUUCAAGUUUUUCGGCUUCAAGCCAUAACGUCACUGACUUUGGUAAUUUUUUAACGGCAUUUGCAAUAAUAACUUUUGCUUCUGCAGCCGGGUGUAGUCGUAUUGCUUCUAGCCAAACAUCCUCAGAGCGAGAACAAUUUUCGCAACCUUUUAAAAUUAAAGAUUGUGCUUGAGAUAAUUUAUUCGCGACCUCUUCAAGCCGCGCAGCAGCUACCCAGCCAGAGGCGUGCUUUGGAUUCGUUUCAAUAACACUUUGCAACAAUUUUCUAGCUUUUCUUAUAUCACCCAGGUCAUUGGCAUUUUUUGGAACCAUACUAUUCAGACUAGUUAAAUACCCCUUCGGAUCUAUAGUCGAUGGUGAAGUCAAAUUCGACGAAGCUUGUGCUAACUUGAUACCUAAAACUUUGUCACGAGCAGCUCCAAUUUCAACAAAAUUUGUUUUUGUCCCAUUCAUAUCUGGAGUUUCUGUUCCUGCUUGAGUAUCCACUGCAAAAUUAGAGAUAGCUUGAUUUUCAUUGCGAGCACUUGCAAGAACAAAAUCACUUGUUGCAUAAAAUCUUUCACGUCUCGGCUGUUUAGUCCUUUUUUUACGAGUUAGAUCGCCGGGUUCUGGGAUAUUAUUCCAGUCUUCAUCUGUCAAAGUGGAUAACCCACGUUUUAAGUCCGCAAAUUGUGAAGAAACCUUGGGGUUUUCUUUUUCAUAUUUUUCUUUCUGUAGCUGUUCUUGUUUUUCACGUUGGGAUUUUCUUCUUUUACUUAAAUGUUCCUCUACAGAUUGAUAUAUUUUAUCAGCUUCUUCGUCCUCAUGAUCAUAUGGAGCAGUAGCAAACAGCGCUACUUCAUUGUCAGGAUCCUGAUAACGAGGAUCGAUAUCUUCUUCUUCCUCUAUUUCUGAUUUCCUUUGUUCAAUUGCAGCCUUUAUAGAUUCUUGGGAUGGCAAUUCUUGAGCAGGCCCAAGAUCUGAACGCGUUGUAAAUCCUGUUGCACCACGUCCUAAACCUGCUACAUAGUUAGGAGGUGGCUGCAUAUUCAGAAAAUCUGGAUAAAAGUUUGCCAUUCUAAUUAUCUGCAAUUAAAUGCAAUAAGCCGAGCCUUUCGGCUUUAUAAAUAUCUGGUAGUGGCUUUCAAAUUUUAAAAGUAGGCAAUACGAAGAAGAGAAAUUAACUCCUAGCAGCUUUACUACAACAAAGUUAAAAAGAGCCAUUAGGUAAAAGUAAAUUUAGAAAAACUUAAGAUAGAAUAUUUCUUAAACAAAAUAAAUUUCCUACUGUAUGUAAUGAUUUUACAAUCAAACGA